rnacentral:lncRNA from 10 species
GGAUCAUUCACCCAACAAAUAUUUACUGAGUAAUCCCUGAAUGUCAGGCAUGAGUCUAAGAGCGUCACACUCAUAUCUUACUACGUUCCACAGCAACCUUCUGAGGUAGGUGCUAUCGUAAACACUAUCACACAGGGUAUAAAACUGUAAGAGCUUAAGUGCCUUUCCCAAGGCUUCACAGAUUGUCCAGCGUGGCCAGAAUUUUAAUUCAGGCAGUCUAGAUCCAGAGCCUCUUAAUCACUGUACGGUGUUGCCUCCAACCUGGAGGAACUGGUCUGAAGAGAACAAGUAUUACCACGAGUGUUAAUACCAUUAUAGGUAAAAUACACGUAGUGCCUAGAUAUUGGUUUCUAAAUAUGGUUCUCCAAUGAAAGGAAUGAAGGCACUUUGGACUUCGGAGAAGUGGUGGCUGAUAUCAGGGCUGAAACAACAAUAUGAGAUGAUUAUGGAAUAUUUUGUGCUGGUGUUCUGUGUUCUUUCAUGAGAUGAUCAUUCAGGUGAGGUCACAAGAGGACAUAUAAGGAGGCUCAGGAAAACACAGUUUACUGUACUCACAGAUCCUAAAGACAAGAGGCACAGGACACCACAAAGGGCCUUGGGGGAAAGCUCUGGGGUGGCCAGGAGGCAGAGGGGCAGGAGUGAGAGGAGAUCCAGGCCCAUGGUCAUGUGAAAAGCAGGGCAAGAUGAACUGUUUAGGUUUGAAUACUUUCCAUAGGCUCUAAGCCAUAGAGGUGUCCCCUAGUUGCCUGGUACCUGGCCUUGGAAUGACUAAAGCAGAGAAGGGUUACCUCUUGUGUGUAUAGCCAAAUAGAAGAGAUAAGGAUCUGGUCUGGUUAGUUUACAUAUUAGAGACAUGCUCCUGGCUGAGAGGGGUGUUGGUCUCUGUCCCCAGCUCUACUGGGAAAGGAUUCACUUUGAAGCUUACUCAGGUUGUUGGCAGAAUUUAUUUCCUAGUAUUUGUAGGACUCAUGAUUUUUCGAAGUCAGCAGGAGAGCAAGACUCUAGAGUGAGUCUACCAGCAAGACAGAUCCUUACAUAAUGUAACACAAUCACAGGAGUGACAUCCCAUCACCUUUGCCUUAUCUUAUUGAUUAGAAGCAAGUCACAGGUCCCACCCACACUCAAGAGGAGGGGAUUAUAUGAGGAUGUGAAUACUAGGAGUCAGGGAUUUGGCGGGGACAUGAUAAAGUUGGCCAUGGUGAUGCUGUGUUCUCAUUGCAUCCUAUGAGGUGGUUUACCAUACCCCUUAGGAAUACCCAGCUAAACUGCCCAGUCUUGAUCCACAGGAACUGUGAGAUAAUAAUUAUGUGUUGCUUUUAGCUGCUAUGUGAAAAUUGAUUGACCGCAAUACAGAAAACCAAUAUAGUUGUUUCUAUUUUAUUCUUGCCAAAGAUGCCUGCAAUCUUCACUUGCAUCAAGAUAACAAAAGUAAGGAAAGACUGAGGAAACAUGCUAGGUUGAAGGAGACUGAGGACAUAUAACCACACAAUGCAAGAUACUAUUUUGAAUUGGAUACUGGACCGGAGGGAAAACUAUUGCUAUUAAGGACAUUACUCUGACAAUUGGUAAAAUUUAAAAUUGGUAAAAUUUAAAUAUGGACUGUGGGUUAGAUAACAGCAUUUUAUAAAUGUUUAAUUUCCUCAUUUUCAUUAUUAUAGUAUGGUGGUUAUGUAGAAAAUUAUAAAGUGAAUAUGACAAGAUGUUAAUUU